UACGUAGGGGGCAAGCGUUGUCCGGAAUUAUUGGGCGUAAAGAGCGUGUAGGCGGUCCGGUAAGUCAGCUGUGAAAGUCAAGGGCUCAACCCUUGAAUGCCGGUUGAUACUGUCGGGCUAGAGUCCGGAAGAGGCGAGUGGAAUUCCCGGUGUAGCGGUGAAAUGCGCAGAUAUCGGGAGGUACACCAAUGGCGAAGGCAGCUCGCUGGGACGGUACUGACGCUGAGACGCGAAAGCCAGGGGAGCAAACGGG
rnacentral:rRNA from 1 species